AAAAAGGCGAGAGUUAACGAGGCAUGCAGAAGUUUGGUCCGAGUGAAUUUUCAGGAGUUUUGCACGGAGUUUUGUGUUUAAAACUUUGUCUCUGGAUUACAAGCAAGGUAAUCUGUAAGAAGACGUGUUUGUAAAUGACAGAACUUUGACCAGAAGUUUUGACGACUGCAGCAUUGCUGCUCGUUAAACCAGUGAGAGUGAUUUAAAACGUGGACAGACUGCAGCUGCUUCUAGCUGACCCAGCUCGACCCAGUACCUGUGUUUUGGACUGUUUUGGACUGUUUUGUCCAAAAGCGUUGGAUUGCCACCAGACCUGAUGAUGCUGUACCCUCGUUUUCAUCUUGCUCGUUAAGGAGACCUAUGGACGAGUAAACUACCCUGUGGAACACACAUCUCUAAAAAGCCUCAUUGAGCAACUGGCACAAAUGCACACUGCUCUUUUUACUGCCAUUAACCAUAUACCUGGGAUGCUUGGCCACAUUAAUGAUGCUUGACUCCAGCGCUGACAGACCACCCACCAGUGUCAACCAUCAAUCUAUCCAACCAGAGGGCGGCUGUCGCUCCUGAAGACACACUGUUGAGUCCUCUACUCAUCGCCCUGGAUCAGAUAGCUCAUUUGUAAAAUUAUACCUUAUUUGAUGCUUCAUUUGAGUGUCUGUGUUUCAUUUCCCUGCAUGUGUGAAAUGGUUGUUGUCAGACAGAGGGUAAGCUUACUCACCUCGCUGUAGGUAAACAAAUAGUGGAAGAGUUUGUGAGAUUCAUCUCUGAAAUGAGUUUGGUAACAAAAGGUAAUGGAACCUCUUGACAGUAAAUGAGUGGAAAAUGAAGAAGCCAGCAGGGCCCACAAAGAUCAUUCAGUCAUCCCCUUUUAAAUUAUGCUCAGAUUCUGCUUAGUCAUGUCCUCAGCUCAUUUCCUCCGAGUUGAUUGGAUCACAGUGGUUGUGUGUGGCUGUCAGCAGCUAAUAUGAUGGAGAAGUAAUGUGAUGCUGCUGUUCAUGCUGAAUAAAGCAAAUUGUGUUUAAUAACUUCA